CUUAUACUGUCCAUUAUGGUGCUCAAGCCUUAACCCUUGUGUUGUGUUCAGAACCCUAUCACACUUACGAUGUUACAGAGCAAAAAGGUCCCGGCCUCAAAAAAUUGCUUAUAAAUCACUCAUUAUGCU